CUGCCUUCAGUCGGGCACGCUCGUGAUAGUUCGUGACAAUUGUCGGAGUCGACGGAGUUCCUGGCUCCGGGCAGCUACGAGUCCGUGAUUUAUGCAUGAUUUGUGCGAGUGUCGUCGUUAUCUAAUUACGCGUAGUGCUAAUUGUGAAAGAUAAAUAACCGUGCGAGACGAGGGACAGCAGGAUCGCGACAAUAUGAUGCAAUUUAUGUUACUGUUCAGCCGCCAAGGCAAGCUUCGCCUGCAGAAGUGGUACGUCGCGCAUCCGGAUAAGCUGAAAAAGAAAAUCACGCGCGAACUGAUCACCACGAUACUCGCACGAAAACCAAAAAUGUCGAGUUUCUUGGAAUGGAAGGACGUUAAGGUUGUUUACAAAAGAUAUGCAAGCUUGUACUUUUGCUGCGCAAUUGAGCAGAACGACAAUGAAUUGCUGACAUUGGAGAUUAUACAUCGUUACGUUGAACUAUUGGAUAAGUAUUUUGGCAGUGUAUGCGAGUUGGAUAUAAUUUUCAAUUUCGAAAAGGCAUACUUUAUCUUAGACGAGUUGCUUGUCGGUGGGGAGAUUCAAGAAACUAGCAAAAAAAAUGUAUUGAAAGCCAUUGCUGCCCAGGACCUGUUACAGGAGGACGAAGCUGUGGAAAGUGCUCUGCGGGAGGUAGGGCUUUUAUAGGUACCCUAUUGUUUGCAUGAGCUUCAUGGACAGAGUAUCGACCCACACGAUCGACCGAAAAACAAGAAAAGGCUUACCCGCUGCAUGAUGCCAUUACGACUCUACUAUAUAUAAAUACAUAAAUUCUCAAGUCAACUUUACUAGUCAUAUACGAGACUGUUGAGGCAUCAUACAUUUUCUUUCUUCUGUAACGAAAACUCGAGGGAAGACAAAUUGAUAAAAAAAUUCAAAAAUCAAUUUUCUUUUCUUUUUUAACUUUUUUAAUGAAAUACAUCAAGUGGCAAUUUAAAAUUUUCUCAAAUGGCAAUUUAAGUUUGUCACUGUUUAUUUAUUAAAUUAAAGAAAAUAUAUAACAUUUUCUUGUAUAUUUAAAAACUUGAAAAAUCAACUAUUAUUUUUAUAUUCGGAACUUUUAAUUCGAAAACUUGUUUCUUUGAAAUUGGAAUAGACAAAGUAAAUAUAAAAAUAUUCUCUCUCUUUCUUAGUAUCGGUUUUCAAUAAUCACAGUUGAAAGAAAGUGCACGAUGCCUGGAGCACUCUCUGUGUAUGUUAAUAUAUUUUUUAUAUCGAGAAAAAUUCUCUCUUGCACAUAGAACAAAUUGUUAUGUUACUAACCAAAGGCUGAACUACGGUUCUUAAACCUUAAUUAUAACAUACGUAUUAACGAGUAAGUGAUAUAUAUAGUUACCCUCCUCUACGUACUUUAAUCUUCAACUAUGGCAAUAAAAUUAUCUGUAUUCGUAAGCUAUUUUUAUGAAAAAUUGUUGUAUAUGUACUACUGAAAAGCGUCAGUAUUAAUGUGACUAUAUAUUGCAUAGAACGUAUAUUUCUUACGCGUCUAUGUAUCUACUUAAAAAGAAAAAGAGGAACCUAUCUUAACUAUAGAAAUAAUUGGAAACAUAUAUAUCUCUUUAUACUCUUUAUAUAUUAUAUAUGUACAUAUUCAUAUAUUAUAUAAGCAUCGUCAAUUUUUGAUGUCAUUAUACAUUAAGUGUACUAGUAAUAAAUAUGUCGUACGAAAUCUUUACAUUGUAAUUGAAAAUUAGCGCACAUAAUACCUUCUUAGCCUAUGCUAUAUCAAUCACUUACAAUCGCUGUACAAUCAUUUACGUUAAUCGCAGGUAAAAUUGACACCUCAUGUUUCUGUUGAUGAAAUUAGUUUGUGUAUUAGUAAAAAUUAUUAGUUCAUUAGUAAAUAAUAUAAGAGAUUCGCAAAGGCAACGAAAUAAUGUGUUGGCUGGAUAUUGUCUAUUGUAAGCCAUCGCGCGGUGUGAGCAUAUUCAGCCGUAUCGCAAUCACUAUGAUCCCAUCUGGAGGAUGGGAUCUCCACAAUUCGACACGUUGCAUGUAAAAAACAAGCAAUUAUUUUAUUGGUGCUUAAAAUUUCGAUCGAGGCAAUACAUGAACAUGCGCUUUGUGUACCCAAACAAGUAAAAAAGUUACUCAGUUAUAUGAAAAGGGUUCAGUUCACCAUUUGAAGCUGCAUCAAGAAGGGAAUUUUAUUGUGACGUAGGAGGAGACUCCCCAGGGAUUCUUCGAGGAUCACGGAUUGGGAUAAUAUUCUUUCAAAUGAUACGCGUACUUCUUCGUAAGCCUACAUUCCCACACACACACAACUAUGUUUUACCAUUCCAUAUUUCCAUUAACGCAAUUUCCAUGUCGUUACUUGAGCUUGAAAAAUUAAGAAAAGAGAAAAAAUAUAUAAAUAUUUUGACGUGUGCAAAUAUAUUUUCAAUUAUCAAAUUUAUUAUUUUAAUGAUACAGCGAAUAUAAAUCAUAAGUCUCAUUUCUUCAGCCUAGAGUUUUUUUUAGCUUCAAAUAAAAUAUAUUUGUGCAUGUUUACAAGCCAGUCACAUUUAACAUAAUUCUAUCGAAUCAACAAAUACAAGAUACAAUGACAAUGGCAAUCAGGCGUGUUUUAAUAUAUAAGUAUACAUAAAUAAACACGCCGUCUAUUUAACACCUAUUUCAUUUUGUUUAAAGCGAUUUGUAAUUUGAAACUUUCAUGGCUUCGUGAUCUGUUUAUUGAGCGAAAAAAUGACAUUUAAAUAUUUAAAAAAUUAUCAAUGAUAGAGACAGCAUAGAAUUUCGCGUUUCUUAUAGUGCGGAAAAUCGAGAAACAUGAUUUUCUUAGCUUAUUAAAAACUUUUUUCUUUUCUUUACGGAAGUUCUACUUACUAUAAUAAUACGAGAUGUGUUACGGUUGAGUGAAGUGAAUACAUAUAAAUCUAGCAUUUGCAUUAAGUUUGAAACAUAUGUUAUUUAUACACAAUCACUCGCGAGAUGUGAUGUAUUGUUAAUUAAAUAUCAUAUUCUGUAUUACAUAAUGUAUCAAUGAAAUUCCGGAUCUUUCUCCGGGAUAUGGAUAUACACACAAUAAUAAGUCUGCACAUUUUUAACUAUUGUUAGCAAAAGAAUUAUAAUCUAUACAUAAUAAGAAUAUCUUUUGGUUGAAAUGUUAAGAAGUAUACAGACUGCGUACAGAAAGAUCGGUGAAUCGGCAACAAACGUGUAUUCUUUGAUAAAAUUUAAAAGCCAAAGUUCUUAUCAUUAGUGAAUGUUAAAAUUGAUCAAAUUUAAUUAGUAAUUAUAAUUAAUAAAUAAUAAGAUUAAAAUAUGCCAUGAUGUAUGUUUGUCAAAUAUUAGCUGCAAAUAUUUAUUUACGGAAAGUCACUGGUCCAUAAUCAUUAAAUUCGAAAUUUAUGGAAUUGGUAAUUACUAAUUAAUUAGCUACUUGAAAUUUUAAACAAGUCGAAUAUAUCAAAGAUUACAUUUUUAUUACCGAUUCGUCUUUCUUCAAACAGAUUUAGAAUAAUUAGAAAAUAUUAGUAUUUUUUAGAGUAAUUAUAAGAAUGUAGUUAUCUUUAACUCUUAACUGAUAUAACGAUAUUUCCAUUUUAAGAGACCAUUGUUUUUGCAAAUUUUUUAACUUUCUUUUAUCAAUUUUUCAAUUUCUGUUAAACAGGCAAUUAUAAAUAAGAAAAAAGUAACAAUUGAAAUAAAAAAAAAAUUAAGUUUAUUUGAAUUGAAUCACAAGUUUUAAUCUAUUCGAUUUUGAAUUCAUCACAUAUAUUUUGAUCUCAUCCUAUAUGUACAAUCUAUAAAUUACAUUGUAGAUUAGUAUGUGUAUGUAUGUAUACACUAAUCUACGGUUUAAUUUAUAGAUUUUUUUUAAAUAACAAUAUUUAAUAUCUUAGAAACGUAUAUAAGUUAGGGUUAGGCUGAUGACAAUCCGAUGACUGAAAUACAUCCUAUGUUUAUCCUAUAUUUAUUUUAUCUAUAUAUUUAUCUUUAUCUUUUUAACUUUCCUGAUUCCGUAAUAAAUGUGAUAGUAAAUAUUUUCACGUCACAACACAGUUAAGAGUUAAAGAAUAUUGUAAUUAUUUUAGCAUAUAUCUCACUGAUGAUCUUAUCGAGCAACACAAUUUGAAGGGAUUUAAAUUCAGUUUCUUGGCAGUAGUCCAUUAGAAAUGUUUGGCGCGCGACAUAUAUAUAAAAGCCUCCGCAUCCUUGUUGAAGAGUUAAAUUGUACCGUGUAUUUUUAUGAUGCUUAAAGCGUGCAUAUGUAGUUUAGCGAAGAAAAUGUAAAAGUUAUCGAUUUUCGUGUCCAAUGCAAUUGUUGAAAUGAAUCGAGAUAUUUUGUUACAUAAAUGUACACACCGUUGAGAAACGUGCAAUCGAAGUAUACCAACAUGUAUUAGAAAUCUCGAUUUGUACUUUCCAUGUUAAAGAUCAGACAAUAAGUUAAGUAUAUUCUUAAAUAUAUAUAUAUAUAUAUAUUCGCUUGUAACAUUUAUACGUUACGAUAUAUAUACACGCGCGUUGUAUACACAUAUCUAAUAAUAAUGGAUGUAAUUGAAUCUGAUUCGGAAUUCCGAGAGGAUAUUCGUGCCCAAUAAACAGCGUGCUCGUUUCUAGUGUUCAACACGCAGUUGCUUCUUUUUAAUGAUUUUAGAAGAGUAUAAAAUGUAUUUACGUAAUUAUACAUAUAUAUCCUUUCGGCUCGAUUUUUUAUAGUCUUUUUGUUACAUAUAAACAUCGCGUGAAAAUUGAUAAGACUUUAAAAGCGGGGAGGCAUGACAUUGUUACACGAUUAUUAAGAGUGAGAGAGAGAAAGAGAGAGACAGAGCGCGACGAGAUUUAUAUUUUAUAUUUCCGUCUAUUGCAACUCGAUUAAAUAUUAUAUUUUGCGUAUCUGCGCAACGCCAUUUUAUUAUUAACGCAUUUAAAAUUAUUCCGUUUUUUAUUCUGCUUGUAUCUUAUUGCGAUUGUCGAAACUUAUACGAUGUCUUGUCGAUAUUUAUCUUAAGCAGAGAGUCUUAGUAUACGUUUAUUAGAUCAAUUAAAAAGUCAUAACAUUUUAAUCCUUGCACUCUUUACAACGACACAAUUAGUCUGCGACACGCUCGUAGAUGCGCUCGUAAACGUUUUGUAUUGCGUUAUAAACUUUCGAAUUAUACAGAGCAGAAUAAUGUACAUACUUUGUCAGAAACGAAAUCAAAAUAGUUGAUAAGUUAUCUUUUUGUUGCUACCGCUGACGUUCGACGGAAACGACCGGACUGUAGGAUAAGACUUUAUCGAUGUUAAGAAUGAAAUAUGUAUUGUGUUAAGACCAAAUGUUGCAUUGACAAAAGACGAUGCUUUUACGCUCCGUCCAAAAAAAAUAAAGUACAUAAAAACAGA